GGUGGGGUUGGAGCAGUGUUAAGGAGUGGAUAGAGGCUGUUUCUGGCUGGGGUAAGUAAAGGAGAGACUUGCAUCAGGAAAAAGCUGUCCUUUUUCCAAGCUCCAACCUUGCACAAGAUGUUUUUUUAAAGUUACUAUUCACAUUCUGAGUCUAGGAAGCUCUGACUGCUCAUUGUGUUAAUGGCCUUAAAAAUGCAGUAGGAAGAAAAGGGGUCUGAAAAUCAGUUUAAACAGAGCAAUGGAAAAGAUCCAGAUGUGUCCAGGAAGACCUUUUGUGUAAAUUAACUGUGAAAUAAGAAAGCUCAUUGAACCUUGGUCUGUUCCCAGAUGCCUACCUUGACACAGACGCCUACCUCUCCCUUGCAUCCUAAGGCUGCGUAAUUUCAAGACCUUUUCAUGCAUGAAAAGGUCAGGUCAAACAUUUAAUGCUUGCAGCGCUGGAGGGACAGAAAACAUGAACUGUUCUGAAAAAAGAAGCACACAAGUACUUUAACUCUUCUGCAAUAAACAAGUGGUGGAUUUAACUCCCUUGCACAUAAACAUCAAUUAUUUAGAGU